UAGGGAAUCUUCGGCAAUGGGGGCAACCCUGACCGAGCAACGCCGCGUGAGUGAAGAAGGUUUUCGGAUCGUAAAGCUCUGUUGUAAGAGAAGAACGUGUGUGAGAGUGGAAAGUUCACACAGUGACGGUAACUUACCAGAAAGGGACGGCUAACUACGUGCCAGCAGCCGCGGUAAUACGUAGGUCCCGAGCGUUGUCCGGAUUAAUUGGGCGUAAAGCGAGCGCAGGCGGUUUAAUAAGUCUGAAGUGAAAGGCAGUGGCUUAACCAUUGUUCGCUUUGGAAACUGUUAAACUUGAGUGCAGAAGGGGAGAGUGGAAUUCCAUGUGUAGCGGUGAAAUGCGUAGAUAUAUGGGGGAACACCGGUGGCGAAGGCGGCUCUCUGGUCUGUAACUGACGCUGAGGCUCGAAAGCGUGGGGAGCAAACAGG
rnacentral:rRNA from 1 species